rnacentral:misc_RNA from 1 species
AUUUCGGUAAGUUUGAUUUUGGCAUUGAGCUUGGGCAGCUUUAUGAUAUAAAUUUCUUUAUGUUUAUAAGUUUUGGCCUCGAUGAUAUUUGUAAUGGUCAUUAUUAUACUAUUGCUUUCUGUCCUUUUCUUUGAGAAUGUUUUAAAAUUGUGAUAUAAUUUCAGGGGAGAGCUUGAUAUCAGAAUGUUUGCUUGGCCUUUCAAAUGCAUAAUAUUGCUCUUUUUUCUUCUUUGUAGUGUCGAUUUUUAGAUUUUAGUGUCUCAACCUUCAUGAUCCUUGCUAAAUUCAUUCUCAUGGGCAUGUGCGCGCGCAUGGAGUGGGUGGGGGGUGAUGGAAUUUGGUUUAUAGACAUCAUGAAGCCUGGUUUUAAAGCCUAAUUUGGCUUAAUGCUGGGUACUAGUGUCCAAAUCCUAUCUUCAUGCAUAGAUGCUUAUAUUAACCAUUGGAAAAAGACUUUUAAAUUAGGGAAAAAAAACACUGGUAUGAAGUAGGAUUUCAUGUCAGAUUCAGUUUGUAGAAAAGUUCCACCAGACUAAACACCAGAGUGAAUUUAAAGUCGACCGUGUUGGAUCAAUUUUCCCAGGUUUAAGACUUUUUGCUAGAUGUUAAUGGUAUUAGAUGAGGCAAUUUCAAACACUAUUAUUACCAAAUUAGUAAUUUGCUCCAUAGAAUUCAAUCUGUAAGAAUUAGAUUUCAGGACACAAAUCAUUCCAGUUAAUGUUUAUCAUUGCAUGUCCUAUGAGCAAUUCAUUUCAUGUCUAAGCAACUUGUCCCCAAAGGGAUUGCUUCCUUGAUAUCCUUCACACCUUAAGGAUUCUUCACAUUUUCUCCUCCACAGCCAAUUAAAGGAAACAAUCCAGCAACAAAAUGCCUCUAAAUCGAUACCUACAAAACACAGAAAUCCAUUCACAUCAAAAACUAAAGCCAGAAAAUUUUAGAAACCCACACAAAGGUCAUCACCACACGGUAGAAACCCUAGGUUGGGGGGUUGGGAAGAGAGAUAGAACCUAUAACACAAUGAAUUCAAAUGAUCUGGUGGAGGAGCUAAGAGAUCAGUAGUGAUUUGGGAGACGGGAAUUGAUGUACUUGAGGCAUGAGUUCUUUUUCUAUAAUAUCUACAAUGUUAUGCAGGUAUUUGUUUGAGGUUUCUAAUUAAAAUUUUAUUUGUCGGUCAUUCAAGUUCAGUAUCAAGCAGUAUUCCUGAAACCCACAUGAGCAGUGUAUUUAACUCAACUCAACUAUGCCUGUAUCCUAAAAAUUUUGGGUCGGCUAUAUG